rnacentral:rRNA from 1 species
AGUGAACGCUGGCGGUAGGCCUAACACAUGCAAGUCGAACGGCAGCACAGUAAGAGCUUGCUCUUACGGGUGGCGAGUGGCGGACGGGUGAGGAAUACAUCGGAAUCUACUUUUUCGUGGGGGAUAACGUAGGGAAACUUACGCUAAUACCGCAUACGACCUACGGGUGAAAGCAGGGGAUCUUCGGACCUUGCGCGAUUGAAUGAGCCGAUGUCGGAUUAGCUAGUUGGCGGGGUAAAGGCCCACCAAGGCGACGAUCCGUAGCUGGUCUGAGAGGAUGAUCAGCCACACUGGAACUGAGACACGGUCCAGACUCCUACGGGAGGCAGCAGCGGGGAAUAUUGGACAAUGGGCGCAAGCCUGAUCCAGCCAUACCGCGUGGGUGAAGAAGGCCUUCGGGUUGUAAAGCCCUUUUGUUGGGAAAGAAAAGCAGCAGGUUAAUACCCCGCUGUUCUGACGGUACCUAAAGAAUAAGCACCGGCUAACUUCGUG